GGGGAUAAACUUAGAAUCCCUAUGAAUAUUGUGUUAAUAGUCGUACUUUUGGCCGAGUGCGAUGGUUAGUGAAUC
rnacentral:ncRNA from 1 species